CUUCACCGCGCCGACCCGCAGCGGCCGUCCGGCCGGGCGGUGCUGCCCGUAGGUGGCCAGCAGGGCCUGCGCCUC
rnacentral:antisense_RNA from 1 species